UAGGUUGUAUUUAGGUGUUAAUAUUACAUUUGCAAAAAUCAAGGGCUAGAUUGUAUUUUUGGAAGUUUAAGGUUAAUUCAAGAGGUCAUUUCUGGUAAUUCAAACAUUUGUGUCCAAUUAGAAAACAAAGAAAAGAUGAGGGACCAUCGUGCAAUAAACAUAAACAGAUAUUUGGAAGACUGAAAAAUGCAAAUAUGAAGAAACCAGCCAUUGUCGUUGAUUGAUUCUUCUCUGGAAUCUGGGCUUGACGACGAUGACGAACCUGUUCCGGUGUAAUGAAGACCUCGGCUUGGAGCUGAGAACACGACCCAGAGAUGGAGAAUACGAUGUUGACGAGCCGUGAUGAAGAGCUUGGCUACGAUGAAGUGGAUUCACGGCGAGGAUGAGAAGAAGACAAAGGCGGAUCAAACCUUGUGCUUCUGGUCGGAGAAGAACAUUCGCAAGAUAACGUGGCGGCUAGGAGCCACUGCCAUGACUGCAGAUCUCAAAGAAGCACAAACAGAUCAAAGAGAAGUCGGAACGAAGAAAUUAGGUCACUGUUAGCUGUAACGGUUGAACCAUGGAUAAUAGAAUUAAGAGAUGUGUCUGAGAAGAAGAUGACGCUUUGGCGUCUGUGAUUGUCAAACAGAUUUAUGUAUGACAAAAGAAAGAAACAUGUGGAUUAUAAUUUCAUGACGUGUAUGAAUAAAUUAAACGGAAGGAAAGACCUUUGGCGG
rnacentral:lncRNA from 1 species